rnacentral:rRNA from 1 species
UACAGAGGGUGCGAGCGUUAAUCGGAAUUACUGGGCGUAAAGCGUGCGUAGACGGUUAUGUAAGUCAGAUGUGAAAGCCCCGGGCUCAACCUGGGAAUUGCAUUUGAGACUGCAUAGCUAGGAUGCGGAAGAGGGAAGCGGAAUUUCCGGUGUAGCGGUGAAAUGCGUAGAUAUCGGAAGGAACAUCAGUGGCGAAGGCAGCUCUCUGGGACGGUACUGACGCUGAGACGCGAAAGCGUGGGGAGCGAACAGG